AUACUUACCUGUACGGGAGUUACCUAUAUCAUACAAACGGUCUCCCGGGGUAAGGCUACUCCAUAGCACUCUGGAAUAGCCGAACUCUUCGGGCACCUCUAAUGUUGGUGAGCCGGGUACAUAAUUUCUUAGUGUUGGGGACUGCGUUCGCGCUCUCCCCAU